rnacentral:rRNA from 1 species
UACGUAGGGGGGCUAGCGUUGUCCGGAAUUACUGGGCGUAAAGAGCUCGUAGGUGGUUUGUCGCGUUGUUCGUGAAAACUCACAGCUCAACUGUGGGCGUGCGGGCGAUACGGGCAGACUUGAGUACUGCAGGGGAGACUGGAAUUCCUGGUGUAGCGGUGGAAGUGCGCAGAUAUCAGGAGGAACACCGGUGGCGAAGGCGGGUCUCUGGGCAGUAACUGACGCUGAGGAGCGAAAGCGUGGGGAGCGAACAGG